AAGGGUGCGUAGUGUCUAAUAAGUCAGUGUGAAAUCUCUUUGCUUAACAAGGAAAUUGCCAUUGAAACUGUUAGACUUGAGAAUGGACGAGGUAGGCGGAAUUCGUAGUGUAGCGGUGAAAUGCAUAGAUAUUACGAAGAACUCCAAUAGUGUAGACUGCUUACCAGACCAUAUCUGACACUAAGGCACGAAAGUGUGGGUAUCAAACAGGAUUAGAUACCCUGGUAGUCCACACAGUAAACGAUGAAUACUAACUGUUUGCGAUAUACAGCAAGUGGUCGAGCGAAAGCGUUAAGUAUUCCACCUGGGAAGUAUGCCGGCAACGGUGAAACUCAAAGGAAUUGACGGGGGCCCGCACAAGCGGAGGAACAUGUGGUUUAAUUCGAUAAUACGCGAGGAACCUUACCCGGGCUCGAACGAUAUUUGAAUACAUCCGAAAAGAUGUAGCUAGCAAUAGCAAAUACCGAGGUGCUGCAUGGUUGUCGUCAGCUCGUGCCGUGAGGUGUCGACUUAAGUGUCAUAACGAGCGCAACCCUUACCGAUAGUUACCAUCAGAUAAUGCUGGGGACUCUAUUGGGACUGCCACCGUAAGGUGUGAGGAAGGAGAGGAUGACGUCAAAUCAGCACGGCCCUUAUGUCCGGGGCGACACACGUGUUACAAUGGGAGAAACAAAGGGUCGCUACCUGGCAACAGGAUGCUAAUCUCGAAAAUCUCUCUCAGUUCGGAUUGGAGUCUGCAACUCGACUCCAUGAAGCUGGAUUCGCUAGUAAUCGCACAUCAGCCAUGGUGCGGUGAAUACGUUCCCGGGCCUUGUACACACCGCCCGUCAAGCCAUGGAAGCUGGAAGUACCUGAAGUAUGUAACUGAAAAGAGCGUCCUAAGUAAUCANG
rnacentral:rRNA from 1 species